CUGACUUUGAUGUGCAGACGUGAAACUGUGGGCGCUUUCUUCCUCACUCUGUCACUGCGCUGCUGUCUGACCUUCACACUGAUCCUCUGCAGCUCACCUGCUCUUUGACACCCUCUGACUCUCACAGUGACUGACAGCUGAGGGGGCGGAGCCUGCAGCCAUGUUGGUGGUGGUGUGGUUACUGAUGAUGAUGAUGAAGAGUGACGCUGGCGCUGCAGACAUCAUCAGAGUGUCUGCCAACAGCAGCACGAGAGUCAUGCUGGCCUCAGGCCUGCAGGGGGACCCGAGGGCACGCGGGUACGACGUCAGGUGGACUCAGAUCCCUCACCUGCUGCUGAACUGGAACCGGAGCACGUGCUCCCACGGACGCUGCUCGAUGCUCCCUGACGGCUCGCUCGAGUUCAGCCGACUUCAGACCCAAGACUCCGGAAACUACACGCUGGAGGUGUUUGACAAGACUGGGUCGAGACUGCAGACCAAAGACUUCCUGCUGCAGGUGACAGACCGCAGCAGCAGCCAUGUGGUGUCUUCAGUGUCCGUCUGCGUCGUCCUGCUGGUUCUGUUGCUCUUCUUCAUCGUGGUCUUCAUCCUGAGGAAGAGGAGGGUUCAGAGGAAGAAAACCACAGGUCAGGAGGAGGAGAAGGAGGAGAACAUUUAUGUGGUGAUGAGGAGGAACGAAGAAGAGGAGGAGGAGAAGAAACCGGAGGAAGAGCCCCUCUAUGUUCCCUUCAGUCCUACAGCUUCCUCCCAGCAUGAAGACAGUGUCUAAGUGUGAGGACCAAUCAGAGCCCAGCGUGUCUGCUCUGUAUGGAAGCCUUUGAGGGACUUUAUUAAUUGGAGAUAAACUAUCUGAAUUUCAGGAGCAGGACCACGCCUCCAAACACACCUCUUCCUGUUCCUACAUAUAUUUGACCCCCCAGCUCUACAACGCCCCCUCCCCCCCCCCCAUUAGUACAUAGUCCCCUCUGAGCCUCCCCCAAGCUGCAGCUCACUUCAUGUUUCCCAACAACCCGUCGGCGUGGUUUUCCCGUUGUUACGCUGCUCUGAUGGGUUUUUUUUUUUGCCUGUCCCGUUUGGCUCUUUUGCAUCAGAAUUGUUGUCUAAAGACAAAGAAAGAUGCCCAACGGAUUUACUUUACCAAACUGACCAUCCCAGCCUCGCCAUAAUGGUCCAUUUGAUUCACCUUUUAUUGUUUAUUUUAUUUUCACUUGCUGAAUACGGGACAGACUUGACUGGGGGAAAGAAGGGGAGAAAGAAAGAGGGAAAGAGAAACAGCUGAGAAGAGGGACGGGGGAGAAGGGCAAAAGACAAAAACCAAC
ensembl:lncRNA